UGAUAGGGACAGUUGGGGGCAUCAGUAUUCUGAAGCGAGAGGUGAAAUUCUUGGACCUUCGGAAGACUAACAGCUGCGAAAGCGUUUGCCUAGGAUGUUCUCUUUAAUCAAGAACGAAAGUUGGGGGAUCGAAGACGAUCAGAUACCGUCGUAGUCUCAACUAUAAACUAUGCCAGCUAGGGAUUGGUGGACGUUUAUUUACGACUCCAUCAGCACCUUAUGAGAAAUCAAAGCAUUUGGGUUCCGGGGGGAGUAUGGUCGCAAGGCUGAAACUUAAAGGAAUUGACGGGAGGGCACCACCAGGAGUGGAGCCUGUGGCUUAAUUUGACUCAACACGGGAAAACUUACCAGGUCCGGACAUAGUAAGGAUUGACAGAUUGAUAGCUCUU
rnacentral:rRNA from 1 species